rnacentral:lncRNA from 1 species
AUGAUGAAAACUAGUUUCAUACUCUUUAGAUAACCCUUUACAUGAUGUGCUCAUUCACGAAUUCAAGAGUCUUGUCUUAAGAAGCUAUUCUCAAUCACUUUUCCAUAUGUAGUGAAUUUCUCUGGAAUACUUGUGUUUGUAGGGGAUUGUAACUGCCCCAAUAUUGUAUGCCAUGGAGGAAUUUCCUCAACUGCGUACGCUGGUGGACCGAGGUUUUGAUGAUCCUGUAAAUGUGGAGAUCGUAAGCAUUUUUGUGUUCAUUUUCUCCUAGCAUGUCCAUAAUCACCUUUGUAUUCUUAUAAACUUUGUGGUUGAAUGUCCUUUAUACCUUUUUUUUUUUUUUUUGAUGACAAGGGAAACCCGCAGCCGCUACCCUUUUUGGGUGCACACAGGGUAAAACCCCCGCUCCUAUGCAAUAGCUCGCAAACCACAUAGGAGAGGUAACCCGCACUAGGCAAGCCUGGUGCGACGAGCUCGACCCAGAAGGCAAACCCCUUGCUUUCGCAUGCACGAAAGCAAGGGGUUUCGAACUUGAGACCUCCAACAUGGAAGUCCCAAGCCCAAACCACUGGGCUACCCUGAAGGGUCCUUUAUACCUUUUAAUUUGGCGCUUUAAUGAAAAUGAUGAUAAUGACUUUACUUAUCCAAAUGAUAGAGGUGUGUUUACCCUCUAAAUAUGCCACAAUUUUCUAUCAAGUCUAUAGCUUUAGUUCUAUUUUUAGGGGUGGCAAUUGGGUGGGUCAAAAUGGGUCAAGACAAUAAACAGGUCAAGACCCAACCGAGUCCAAAUUUGUUUGGGCCAAAAUGGGUUGGGUCAAAACAGGUUAGUAACGGGUCAUAACCCAACCCGCCCAAUUUUUACUAAGUUUUAAUUGCUUUAUUUGUUAUUUUAUAAGCUUUUAGUACCUAUUUUUUUUUCUUUAUUA